ensembl:misc_RNA Y_RNA Y RNA
CACUGGUCUGGUUGCAGUGAUGUUUACAACCAAUUAUAGAUUUCUUUGUUCCUUCUCCAUUUCCACUGCCUUACUUGAGUAGCCUAAA